GACGAACGCUGGCGGCGUGCUUAACACAUGCAAGUCGAACGAAGAGCGAUGGAAGCUUGCUUCUAUCAAUCUUAGUGGCGAACGGGUGAGUAACGCGUAAUCAACCUGCCCUUCAGAGGGGGACAACAGUUGGAAACGACUGCUAAUACCGCAUACGAUCUAAUCUCGGCAUCGAGGAUAGAUGAAAGGUGGCCUCUACAUGUAAGCUAUCACUGAAGGAGGGGAUUGCGUCUGAUUAGCUAGUUGGAGGGGUAACGGCCCACCAAGGCGAUGAUCAGUAGCCGGUCUGAGAGGAUGAACGGCCACAUUGGGACUGAGACACGGCUCCAGACUCCUACGGGAGGCUAGCAGUGGGGAAUCUUCCGCAAUGGACGAAAGUCUGACGGAGCAACGCCGCGUGAGUGAUGACGGGCUUCGGGUUGUAAAGCUCUGUUAAUCGGGACGAAAGGCCUUCUUGCGAAUAGUGAGAAGGAUUGAC
rnacentral:rRNA from 1 species